rnacentral:rRNA from 1 species
GAUGAACGCUAGCUAAAGGCUUAACACAUGCAAGUAGAGCGGAGCGGCGGACGGGUGAGUAAUGCCUAGGAAUCUGCCUGGUAGUGGGGGAUAACGUACGGAAACGGGAGCUAAUACCGCAUACUAUCAGAUGAGCCGCGGUCGGAUUAGCUAUGGGGUGGGGUAAAGGCCUACCAAGGCGACGAUCCGUAACUGGUCUGAGAGGAUGAUCAGUCACACUGGAACUGAGACACGGUCCAGCCUCCUACGGUAGGCAGCAGUGGGGAAGAUUGCACAAUGGGCGCAAGCCUGAUGCAGCCAUGCCGCGUGUGUGAAGAAGGCCUUCGGGUUGUAAAGCACUUUCAGCGGGGAGGCGUUACCCGCAGAAGAAGCACCGGCUAACUCCGUGCCAGCAGCCGCGGUAAUUC